CACCAUUUUGUGCACAAUUCAUCGUCCAGAAACAUGCGAAGGAUAAAGCAGAACACUAUCCCGAAGCUGCAGACACGGUUAGCAACUCCAUGUACGUAGACGACGUUCUCGAUUCAUGCGAGACUUCCAAAGAUGCCAUAGAAUUAAGGAGACAACUUUCAGAGUUGUUGAAUUCGGCGAGUUUCCGACUUCGAAAGUGGUCAUCGAAUGACAAGUCAGUACUAGAAGAUGUGCCAGAGGAAGAUCGACAACCCGGAUUAGAGAUACGAGAAGAUGGACGUCCAACAGGAAAAGUGAAGACCCUCGGAGUGACAUGGAAAUCCGAAAACGAUGUAUUCACCUUCAACGUCGAAAUACCAGAGAUCAAGGAGAUAACCACGAAGAGAGAAGUAUUAAGCGCAAUUUCAACUCUGUUUGAUCCUCUUCAAUUUCUUUCACCCUUUACAGUAAGAGCCAAAAUCCUUAUGCAGGACAUAUGGACUGCUGGGCUAGAUUGGGAUGAUCCACUACCGAGGACCCUAUUAGACCGUUGGCAUAACUGGGUGAACGAGUUACAACACCUUUCCUCCUUUGAGAUUCCACGAUGUUUGCGACAUCCCUCCCCUGAUGAAAUAGAAUUACAUAUGUUCUCUGAUGCUUCGAAGGAUGCCUAUGCAGCUUGUGCUUAUCUCGUUUGUCGUUAUGAAGGAAACACACCAACAUCAGUAUUGAUUGCAUCGAAGAGUCGAGUUGCACCAGUUAAAUCGAUGACUAUUCCUAGACUUGAGUUGAUGGGAGCGGUUAUUUCAACUCGUUUGGCAAAUACCAUACUCAAGUCAAUUGUAGUAUCCAAAGUGAUUUACUGGACAGAUUCUACGAACGUUCUAUAUUGGGUGAGAAACCAGAGUCGCAAUUUCAAAACCUUCAUCGCCAACAGAAUCGGGGAAAUCCAAAAUUCGACAAACCCAGAACAGUGGAGACAUGUCCCGGGAGAACUCAACCCCGCUGAUUUGGCAACUCGAGGAAUAAAGGUUUCUGAGCUAGCAUAGAGCAGAGUAUGGAAAGAAGGACCACAGUUCGUUUUAGAAAAUGAGACAAAUUGGCCUGCACGCGUACCUGGAAUGGAUACAUUAUCAAGUGACACGAAAGAAGAGUGUAAAAUGGUGCGAACAAAUGCCACUCAAGCAUUGGACAGUAACGAAUUGAAUCCACAGAACUUUUCAGAUUUCAGACGACUUGUUCGUGUAACAGCAUGGGUACGGCGUUUUACGAGCAACUGCAAAUGUCGACCAGAGCAAAGAGAUCUAAGCAAAAGUUUAUCGAUUGGAGAAGUAAAGAAAGCAGAAUUUUAUUGGUUCAAACGUGCACAAACAGAAAGGUUUCAAGACACUAAAGGACGGAAAAGUCUGGAGAACUUGAAUCCCAUGAAAGACGAGGAUGGACUUCUUCGUAUAGACGGACGCUUACGCCAUGCAGACAUACCGUACGAAAGUAAACACCCAGUGAUUUUACCCAAAGAACACCCUAUCACGGAACUUGUAGUAAGAGCGGUUCAUGAACAACUCGGACAUGGUUCUGGAGUAGAACACACUCUUUCCGAAUUACGUAGUAGGUUUUGGGUGAUAAGAGGACGGGCUGUAGUACGUAAAAUUCUUAAUCAUUGCCAAGUGUGUAAGAAACGCUUUACUGCUAAACCUAUUGGUCAAAUGAUGGCACCGCUGCCGAGACCAAGAGUAAUUUCAUCGAUGAAAGCCUUUUGUCGAGUAGGAGUAGACUACGGAGGCCCAUACCUGACAAAACAAGGUCGCGGCAAGAGUAGAGCAAAAAGAUAUCUCUGUUUAUUUACUUGUCUCGUGACACGCGCGGUACAUUUGGAAAUGGCCUAUGCAUUAGACACAGAUUCGUUUAUGAAUGCAUUCGCACGGAUGGUGUCACGGAGGGGGACGCCUUCGUACGUUUUAUCAGAUAACGGUACCAACUUCGUUUCAGGAGAACGAGAACUGAGAGAACUUGUUGAACAAUUAGACCAAGAGAAGAUUGUUCGGGACAGUUCGCGAUUCUCUCACAUCGAAUGGCAUUUCAACCCUCCAGCUAGCCCACAUUUCGGUGGAGUAUUUGAAGCCAUGAUAAAAAGUGCCAAGAAAGCUAUAAAAGGCAUCCUAGGAAAUGCGGACGUCUCCGAUGAAGAGCUACAUACAGCCAUUUGUGGGGCAGAGAAGUUAUUGAACUCGAGGCCUAUCACGUACGUAAGUUCGGAUUCCAACGACUUAUGUCCUCUCACUCCCAAUCAUUUCAUCCACGGACAGCUUGGAGGAACAUUUGCGGUGGAGGCAACUGAGGAAGAAACGUUCAACCCCCGCAAAAGAUGGCAUCGUGUUCAACAACUAAUCGGUCAAGUUUGGAAACGUUGGAGAAGGGAAUUGCUCCCGACUUUAAAUCGUAGAAAGAAGUGGUUUCAUCCCACACGUAAUAUGAAGGAAGGAGAUAUUGUUUUAAUGAUUGAGCCAAAUGCAAAUCGCUGUGACUGGCCGUUGGGACGUAUUACUGAGACUUUUCCUGGGAACGAUGGCUUGGUGCGAGUGGUCAGAGUUAAAGCUAAAGGAAAGGAGUAUUUGCGACCGGUUCAUAGAUUAUGCCCUCUUGAGUACGUUUAGUAAUAAACCCGAGGAUAUGGAGGAGAUUGUACAGAAUUACCUGCGAAAGAAACGGACAGUUAUGAAACUAAACUGACAACAUAAUUUCAUAUUAGCGGAGUUAGUUACUCCUAGUUUUGUUAAAGUUUUACGAAUGUUAGACUAUCUCGAAUGUUACACAUUCGGGAGGGGGAUGUUACGAACAGAUUACUAUAGAUAAGAUGAAGUAGUUAUAGUUUCCCGCCAUAUAUCGCGGGCUCGGACACGUUGGGGAAAAUAGAUUUUAUACUUUUAUAUUCUAACCGAGUUGGCGGUUAAAAAUGCAAUAAAUUUGUCAUAAGAAUAGAGAUUUUGAGUUAAACUAGGCAAGAACCAGCAAAUCAAACUACGUUCUCAAGUUGGUGAGAACAUAUAUAUUA